rnacentral:lncRNA from 10 species
GUGCAAGUGGGAGUUUGGGAGGUGUAUUUAUCUUUUUUAAAAAAUAUUUUUUUAUGCCUGUCAGCCCUGAAUGGACCCUUUAUUAAUGUAUGUUCUGGGACUAACAAAGGCCUGCCUUUGAGCCUGUCUUCUUUAAGUGCGCGCGAUGCUAGGCUUCCUCAGUAGAGGGCGCUGGAGGACACCACAGCUGGAGGAGGGUUCUUGCCGGUUGUGCGGGAACAGCGGCUCAGUAGUAUGGAUGAGACUCAGGAUUUAGAAGGCAAAACAAACACACAAAUAAAAAGGAGAUUAAUUUUGGACCUUCAUGAAUGGUGCCAAAGUGAAAAAAAAAAGGAGCUGCCUGGCAAUGGUUGCAGGUGA